ACAACAACAUUCGGACCGUCGGUCUACCGAGCAAUAUCAGCCGCUCGGUGGAAGAUCUUCCCUUUGUCGUAUAUU
rnacentral:pre_miRNA from 1 species